CCUACCGUCGCGGUAAUUGGAGGCAGCAUAGCAGAGGAGGAAGACGACGUGCAGCGACGUUUCCAGCAGCAGCAGCUUCUAUUCUGCAUCUUGAAUAAGAUGUUUGCUUUAUGACCACGCUAGGUUCCUGCCAAUGUUCUUGCUAGCUGCUGAGUGGGCGGCGCCACAUUUCUGCAGUCAUUUUGUUGCGGAAAGAAAAAGAAGGAGCCAGUGGAGGAGGUCUGCUGUGCACGAUGAAGAUGAACCGUGCAGUGCAGAGAAGAUCGUCAAGAUGGCAGCUGAGGGCUGCAGAAUGAAGAUGACGUGUAGCGAUUCGAUCUUGUGAAUGGGCUCCGGGCUUCUUGUGCUGGAACGCCGCCUGGAUUCCGUCAAGAGAGUUCCCCCGACCCCCGCCCUCCCCUGCUCGCCAUUCGGUGCACGCCGCAUGAGGACAGGACCACAAGAAGGGGGGGCGAUGUUCUGACAUUCCAGCAAAUAGCCUGCACCCAACGCCCGCACUUGAUGGCAUGCGACCCGAGUGACUUUGGAACCGUCCGUGCACCGACCCGCUUACCGCCGUUGACAUGGCCGAGAAGGCGCCGAAUGUGGACAUCGACCCGGACUUUGAGCCCCAGAAGCGGCCGCGGUCGUGCACUUGGCCCCUGCCCCGUCCGGACUGUGGUGCGGGUAAACCGGGGGCAAAUGACGCUGACGUCAUCCCCGAGGAAGAUGAUGACGACGAGGGAGGCGGCGGCAGCGCGAGGAGUGGCGAGCUCCCCCGGGAGGCCGCCGGUGCUCUCACCCCGAGCGGCGGAAGCGGCAGCCGCCUCCACCUCCACUCGCGGCCCGCGGAGGUCCAGCCGCGGGGGCUCCGCGGCGACGAGGCCGGGGACGGGUCGCCUUCCUCGGCUCAGCUCGCGCCCGCAGCGGCGGCGGCUCCGCAGCAGCCGCGGAAGUCUUCGGCCCGCAGGAACGCUUGGGGGAACUACUCGUACGCAGACCUCAUCACGCAGGCCAUAGAGUCGUCCUCCGAGAAGAGACUCACCUUGUCCCAGAUCUACGACUGGAUGGUCCGCUCAGUCCCCUACUUCAAGGACAAGGGAGACAGCAACAGCUCGGCCGGCUGGAAGAACUCCAUCCGCCACAAUCUGUCCCUCCACAGCCGCUUUGUCAAAGUUCAGAAUGAAGGGACGGGCAAGAGCUCCUGGUGGAUGGUCAACCCGGACGGCGGCAAAGGAGGGAAAGCUCCGCGGCGUCGCGCCGUCUCCAUGGACAACAGCAAGUACAUCAAGAGCGCCCGAGGCCGUGCCGCCAAGAAGAAGGCCUCGCUUCAGGCCGCUCAGGACGGCAGCUCGGAGAGCUCGUCCAGCCUCUCCAAGUGGACGGGGAGCCCCACCUCCCGCAGCAGCGACGAGCUGGACGCCUGGACCGACUUCCGCUCCCGGACCAACUCCAACGCCAGCACGCUGAGCGGCCGCCUGUCGCCCAUCCUGGCCAACUUGGAGCUGGACGAGGUCCCCGUCGAUGACUCUCCUCUGUCCCCCAUGCUGUACUCCAGUCCCAGCAGCGUGUCGCCGUCCACGGGGCCCGCCGCACUCUCGGACCUGGCGGGAACCGUAAACCUAAACGACGGUCUCUCUGACGACCUGAUGGACGACCUUUUGGACAACAUCAGCCUGACGGCGUCCCAGCAGCCUCCUCCCGGAGAGGAGGACAGCAGAGGCAAAGGUCAGGGAGGCUCCGUGUUCACCUUCAGCUGCUCGGGAAGCGGACUGACCGGCCCCGUGGGCAGCUACGGUCCAAAUCCUCUGUUCAGCCCGCCGUCCAUCACGAGCCUGCGCCAGUCACCCAUGCAGACCAUCCAGGAGAACAAGCAGACCACCUUCUCCUGCGUGUCGCACUUCAGCAACCACCAGACGCUGCAGGACCUCCUCAGCCUGGACUCCCACGGCCAUGGCGUCAUGCUCACGCAGUCUGACCCGCUCAUGUCGCAAGCCAGCACCGCCAUCGCCCUGCAGAACACCCGCCGCAACGCUCUCCUGCUGCGCAAGGACCACGCCGGCGCCGCUCAGGCGCAAAGCUUGCCUGCCUGGCAAGCCGCCCUGGCGAGUGCGGACAACGGCGACGCCAAGCACCUCAAGGCUCCCGGCAAGAACGCUCUGCCCGGCCGGGACCGUUUUCCCUCCGACUUGGAUCUGGAGGUCUUUAACAGCAGUCUGGAGUGCGACAUGGACUCCAUCGUCCGUAACGAGCUGAUGGAGGCCGACUGCUUGGACCUCAGCUUUGACACCGCCCAGAACGCCAACAUGAACCCGAGAGGCUUCUCCGGCGUCAAACAGACCUCGGCACACAACUGGGUCCAGAGCUGAGAGCUUAGAACGACCGGGACUCGACUCCUGGGGGUUAUGGAGUCUUAUUUUGCCAUCCUAUUCAACUGAGUCAACUUUAAGGCUGCGUUCACACUCCGGGCCCCACCAAAAUAAAAUUUAAAAAAAGACACUUGGCGUACAUUUUGGUGCUUAGAGUUCACGCUGGUGUUUUUGUCAUGUGACCAAAGGCUGCAGUAAAGAACACAUGCCUCAAGUAAGCCCUGAUUGGACAGCUUUCAUCAGUCUAACUGUUGUAGCUUCUUGUUAUCAUCCGCUUUCUCACCAGCUCACUUCAACAAAAGCUCCUAAAAUACACUUUUAAAGCGCUUUGGUCACAUAUCAGGUGACAAACGUGGUCACACCAAAUACUGACUGGUUUUAGGACCCCCACGGACCACCCCCGGUACAGUUAAAGUAAACAUUUUGGAGUGGCCUUUUAUUGUGGCCAACCUGCGCAAUAAUCAUGCUGUCCCAUCAGCAUCUUGAUACGCCACACCUGUGAGGAGGCGGGCUUAUGCAACAUGACGGAUGCUCACUAAUGAGCAUUCGUUAUUUGAGAGAGCUCAGCCUUUUGCGUACACACAAAAAGGGAAGGGAAGCAAAAACUAUUAUGAUUGCCGAGUUUAUCUUCUGCUGUUUACCAGCGUAGAUUUCACCAAAAGCUUCUGAAAUAUACUUUCCAAGAGAUAUUGAGACAUAUCACGUGACGUAACUCGCAUGUUCCACAGCAGAAUGCCAUCUGCUGGGUUAAAUACGUUUCUGCCAUUUUCUCCCGCUUAGAUUUCACCAAAAGCUUCUAAAGCAUACUUUUAAAGAGCUUUUGUGACAUAAUGUGACACAACUCAAACAGUCAAAAUGAAAAUGCUGCCAACUGGGUUGAAUACGGAGGUUAUUUUUUCUAAAUUUGCACUAUUUAUCAGUGCAGAGUUCACCAAAAACUUCUAAAAUAGACUUUUAAAGAGCUUCCGUGACAUAAUAUUUUAAUAUUCUACUAGCUUAAAUUUCACCAAAAGCCUGGAAAACAUACUUUGAAAGAGUUGUUGUGAUAUAUGAUGUGAUGGAUUUCCAAUGUAACUCAACGAUUUCAAACCAAAAUGCCAACUUCUGGGUUGAACACGUAAAUUAUUUUUGCAUUGUGCUAUUUUCGCCAGCUUGGAUUUCACCAAAAGCUUGUAAAACAUACUUUUAACAAAGCUUUCUCUGACCUACUAUGUGAUGUCAUUGACAUAUUCCAAAGCAGCAUGCCAUCUGCUGGGUGAAAUACGUAGGUUAUUUUAAUAUUCUACUACGUUAACCAGCUUAGAUUUCACCAAAAGCUUCUAAAAUAGACUUUCUAAAAGGAGCGCACGCGCAGAGCCGAGACAACACGUCCAACACAUCUUCUCAUACAUUUAUCAUCUCUGCAUGCUCACCAUUAAGCGGACCGGGACCCAUCUCUCAAGAGGUCCCGGUCCGCUUGUGCCGGGCCCACUGAGGUUGGCACCAAGCAAACGUGACGAGUGUGAACGCAGCCUCCGCCUUCACCGUGCAAAAACGUCUUCAAAGAACCUGAGCGAUGUGCGUCCGGAUGUGUUGGUCUCAGGGAAUCACUACGUUCUGAACGUUCGUCACGUCCACGUUUUUGCCAAACCGCUGUCUGAGAGCUUGUUUACGCUCGGAAAGGAAAAAAGUCGGAGGAGGAGGAUGCUGGACGUUUGGGUUCAUCUUGGAGGGACGCAAAAAGACUUGAAGUGUGAAUUCCAACCUGCAAAUAUGAAGGCUAAGCUAAUAUGUGAGCUGCAGUUUGCUGAGCGCAACAUCGGAAGACGCACUCGCCGUGCCAAGUUUGUUAUUACCAUCCAUGUAAUCUCCCCUUUUCUCCCGUCUUUCGCCGGCGGAACACGUCCUGUGCCGGAAGGGGGCGGGGUUGGUGCUGUUGAAAAUUACAUUCCACGUCACCCGAUUCCCAUUUGUUUGUCUCACAUGUUUAUAGCUAGGCGUGGGUCAGGUGGCCAUUUAUAAAUUUCCAUUUGAAUUUACUUCAAGUAACUUUAACAACAUUGGUUCUGUUGCAUUGUUUUUUAUUAAAUGUAGUCCAUUGAAAUUAAUUUACAUUUGGAAUUAUACUCAAUUUGAAUUUCAAUAAAUUACAUUCCUUCAAAUUUAAUUUAAUUAAAAGAACAAUGCAACACAACCGAUGUUGUAAUAGCAGGAAGGCAUAAAUUGCCCAUCCAGGAUUAACAGGGCGGAUGAGUUGAUUGUAAACAAAAAUACGACAAGCGUAAUGCGCUCGACUUUUACACCAACAGCUGAGUAGCAGCAUUUUGAAGUGCAUGCAGAGCUAGAUAUUUUUAUACAAACGUUAGUUUCAAACCAUUUAUACCCUUCCAAGAGUAGCCAAGUAUGUUGCAGAAUGCACCAGUAUAUUGUACAACACAGCAGCAACAGAACCAAUGUUGUAAUAGCAGUAAGGCGCAAACCGCUCGGCUGACAUUCAUUGGCACUGAUGAGUUGGUCGUAAAAGAACACCACCACAAGUGGAACGCGCAUAUGACUUGCACUCCAACAGCUGAGUAGCAACAUUUUAAAGUGCAUGCAGAGCUGGAUAUUUUUAUACAGAUGUUACUUUGGACAGCCAAAUAUGCUAUCAAGCCAUUUGUUAGCUCCCAAAAGCGGCCGAGUAUGUUGUAGAAUAUGCUGGUAUAUUGUACAACACAGCAGCAACAGAACCAAUGUUGUAAUAGCGGUACCAACAUUAAUGGUGCUGAUGAGUUGAUUGUAAACAGUACAAUAAGCGGAAAGCGCCCACAACUUUCACACCAACAGUUGAGUAGCAACAUUUUAAAGCGCGCACAGAGUAAGGUAUUUCUACGGACAUUACUUUGGACAGCUAAGUAUGCUAGCAAACCAUUUAUUAGCUUCCUUAAGUGGCCAAGUAUGUUGAAGAAUAUAUUAGACUGGUAUAUUGUACAACACAGCAGAAACAGAGCCAAUCUUGUAAUAGCGGGAAGGAGAAAACUGCUCGGCCAACAUUAACAGCGCUGAUGAGUUGAUUGUAAACAACAACACGACAAGCGUAACACAUGCCCGACUUGCACACCAACAGCUGAGUAGCAACAUUUUAAAGCGCAUGCAGAGCUAGAUAUUCCUACGGAUGUUGCUUUGGACAGCUAAAUUAUGCUAGCAAGCUAUUUGUUAGCUUCCAUGAGCGGCCAAGUGUGUUGUAGAAAAUACUGGUAUAUUCUACAACACAGCAGCAACAGAACCAAUGUUGUAAUAGUGGUAACAGCGCAGAUAGGUUGACUGUUAGCAACAGUACACGUGUAAGGUUAAGUUAUGCUACAGCGCCACUCCUGCAAACCCAGCGGCCGAGCUUGAAACGUCAUUUCUGUUGUGUUCCUCUCAUGAGAGCACCCGAAUGCUUCUGCUACGUCCUCCACUCCGCAGGAAGCUAAGUAGGUAGUCAACAAGACUUGUGGUUGCUCGCUCUCAGGAAAACACUGCCCUCUACGGGAUUUGAACGCCAGUGUGGCGACUAGCCUGUAGCAUGAUCCAGCCUGCGCACCAACAGCCCGUUAGCAACAUUUUAAAGCAUAUGCAGAGCGAGGAAAUGCUGCUGGAUACCUCAAACGCAGCAACGUCCAUAGAAAAGCCAUGUCAGGGGGUUGCCUACAGCCACAGCUGGGUGGUUGGGCCUGGCUUCCAGAGGUUUUGCGACGUGCAAUAUUUGGCCGUGUUUGGGUGAAGUGGACUUCUUGGUGCUAUAAAUAAGAAGAUAGCAGGGUGCGGCAUCGGCGACCCCCCACCCCACCCCCGUUAUCAGCGCUACAGCAGGUGCUGCGACCCCGUGACAAGAGCUCGUAUCUUAAGAGCCAUUUUACCACGGAAAGGGAGGGGCCACAGUGUUUUAAAUGUUGCCAAAUGUUUCUGCGUGUACGUAGCUAGAAAUAGAGUCUAUAGAUCCUAGGGAGCAGUGCUAUAAAAGCAAAACAAGGAGUAACGUAUGGUUUUUAUUUAUUUGAUGUGUUUGUCCUCGUGUACGGCGGAAUUAAAACCGCUUUUGCUCACUGACAUUUUUCACCACCAGUUGAAGCCUCUUCUUGGAUGGAAUUUGUUGUGCUUCGAAAGACUUCACUUACCGCCAACACCCCUCCUGUUGCUCACGUGGCCAGUGGUGUUUGAGAUGGUGCAUGUAAAUAAAUCUUCAAGAACCGCUCCAUCACGUGCCGUUUUCCUUGUCUUUCUUUGUGCGUGAAAUGUUCUCCCUGGAGGAAUUGCAUGGCUGCAGACACUGCAGGCACCACAGAGGUGAUUUCCUAUUGGCUCACAGGCUCGGAACUCUGCACCAAUCACGCGCUGUAUCCGAGAGGAACGCAGCCCUUCUUGAUGACGUCACGGUAAACCGGAGGCUGCUUGGCAACUGACGCGGGGUGCGUGUUUUAACAUUCACAGUCUACACGCCUUAGUGCUUGUUUGUGUAGCCUUAACAAAGGAGUCCAAUGAAGCAUGAGAGCCCCCUCCAGGUCAAAAGAAGUCACUCAACAUGAAGGACGGAGGAUGCUGUCGCCAUGGCAACACAACAAGUAAGCAGGGGGAGCACAGAAGGUGUUUGGGGUGUGAAAGACAACAAAUAUUUCAAUCAUCUUAUUUAAAAUGGACCCUCUCGCCCCAAGUCAGCUGGCAUAGGCUCCAGCAUACCUGCCACCCUGGUGAGGAUACGUAGCAUAGAAGAUGAUGGAUGGAAGACUUCAGCUCACUCCUCCCGGCGGAUCCCGACAAAGUCUCUCCAAUGUGCCCUGAACACCUCCCCAGGGAGGCGUCCUGACCAGAUGCCUGAGCCACCUCAUGUGGAGGAGCAGCAGUUCUACUCCAAGUUUCUUUUGGAUGACUUGCUUCUCACCUCAUCUCUCAGGGAGAGCCAGCCACCCUACGGAGAAAACUCAUUUGGGCCGCUCGUACCCGCCAUCUUGUCCCUUCGGUCACUAUUUACAAUCUAUUAUUUAUAUAUUAAAAAUAAAUGCACAUGCAUGCAUUUUUAUGGCGCUCAUGGACACACCAACAUUUGCAUUUUAAAAUAUGGGAACUUUUCUGAAAAUAAAAGGACAUUUCCAAUUUAGUAUGAUUAGUUUUUUUUAAAUAUAAUGUUUAAUGAUAUAUUAUGUAUUUCAAAAACCAAAAAAUAAACAUUUCCAGAAAAUAAGGGAAAAUCUGAAUAUAUACUUUUCUAGUAGAUAUUAUUUAUCUGUCAUACGUUUUAAAAAUAUAUAUAAAAAUCACUCCAGAAAAUAAAAGAAGAAUUUCCCAUACUUUCCAAAUGUUGCCAGGUGUGUCCAUAGCAUGUAUAAAAAUGAAUUAUGCAAAUCGUACAAUGAAAUCCUAACCCACCACCACAUAUAGAUAGUAGUCCUGUGGGAAACGGGUCAUAGGAAUGUAAUAGUAUUAUUCUGUUGGACUUCAAUCAUUCCUUCUAACCCCAACUUGGAAGCUUAAUUACUUGAAAAAGCCUUAAAAAGAACGUUAUUAAUGAAAUCAAAGUGUUGUUAGUAAAAUAAAGCAGCCUUGUGUUCCACGUUGAAUAAACUUUAUUUCAUCGUAUAACGUGUUCUAUUGUUUGUGCCAGCAAAAGAAGUAUUGCAGUAUAAAACGUUGGAACUACUUCAAGGUGUUUCAACCAAGUGCAACAGAGUAAGUGGCUGUACGAGUGGAUGUUUACCAGCUGUGUUGGAGCUGCCAGGCCAAGCUAGGCCAGGCCAGCAUCAGCUCUGUGGACUCGGCGACAACGGUCCGGCGGUGGCGUAGAGGCAGGAGACGGUCCCGGCUUGUAUCUGGAAGGUGUGUCCGUGGAUGUGGUGGCUGGACAUGUGCUCGCUGGUCUGGCUGAUGGAGAUGGGCUGGCACCCCUGGUUGCUGACGUGGAUGGCCCGAGCGUGCUGCUGCGGCGUUUCCUGCUGCUGUUGUUGGGCGCGGCUGUGCGCCCCGUGGAGAGGCUGCGGCGGGCCGUGCUGAUCGUGCAGGUGCCCCACGGCCUCUUUGCUCAGCGUGAUGACGUGCAUGGGCUCAACGUGCGGCGCCGCCGCACCCUCCAGCAUGCUGAUCAUCUGGAUGUGGGGGGCGUGGUCGCUCUGCGGCGUCAGGGGUCUAGACUGGGCUGACGCUUCCUCGGAGGCGAUGAUGCUGAUCUCCUGGGCCUGACCCGGGACGAAGGCCAUGUCGUCCCCUGUCACCACCAGCCGGAAGUCCUGCUCCGAGGCCGGCGUCAGAUGGUACUUCCGGACCUCUUCUUGGGGCGGGGCCUCUUGGGCCGGCGAUGCUCUCUCCUUUUUGUGCGAGUUGACGUGCUUUUUCAGGUUGUCCAGACGCGUGAAGGCCUGGCCGCACUCUGAGCAGGUGAACGGCUUCUUUCCCGAGUGGGAGGCGACAUGGCGGCGUCUGGCGCUGGUGUCCGAGAAGGACUUGUCGCACACGUGGCAGCUGUACGGUUUCUCACCUCUGUGGAGCAAAAUGGAACGUUUGUGAUCGGUCGCGACAAAGAAAUGCUGCUUUUCUACUGCUCAGUACCCGCUUGACUGUGCUCUACUCUACUCUGCUG